UACGGGGGGGGCAAGCGUUGUUCGGAAUUACUGGGCGUAAAGGGCUCGUAGGCGGCCAACUAAGUCAGACGUGAAAUCCCCAGGCUCAACCCGGGAACUGCGUCCGAUACUGGCAGGCUUGAAUUCGGGAGAGGGAUGUGGAAUUCCAGGUGUAGCGGUGAAAUGCGUAGAUAUCUGGAGGAACACCGGUGGCGAAGGCGGCAUCCUGGACCGAUAUUGACGCUGAUGCGCGAAAGCCAGGGGAGCAAGCGGG
rnacentral:rRNA from 1 species